rnacentral:rRNA from 1 species
GACGAACGCUGGCGGCGUGCUUAACACAUGCAAGUCGAACGGAAAGGCCCUGCUUUUGUGGGGUGCUCGAGUGGCGAACGGGUGAGUAACACGUGAGUAACCUGCCCUUGACUUUGGGAUAACUUCAGGAAACUGGGGCUAAUACCGGAUAGGAUCUCCUGCUGCAUGGUGGGGGUUGGAAAGUUUCGGCGGUUGGGGAUGGACUCGCGGCUUAUCAGCUUGUUGGUGUGGUAGUGGCUUACCAAGGCUUUGACGGGUAGCCGGCCUGAGAGGGUGACCGGCCACAUGGGGACUGAGAUAGGGCCCAGACGCCGACGGGAGGCAGUAGUGGGAAAUAUUGCACAAUGGGCGGAAGCCUGAUGCAGCAACGCCGCGUGCGGGAUGACGGCCUUCGGGUUGUAAACCGCUUUCGCCUGUGACGAAGCGUGAGUGACGGUAAUGGGUAAAGAAGCACCGGCUAACUACGUG